UGCAGGAGGUCACACAGGACCGGACAGACGUUCACAUGUAGCGAAUAAAGUAAAUAUAAAAUAAAAUACACAACCAAAUAAAUAAACAAACACAUGGCCAUAUGCCAGAUUUCUGUAUGAAUGCAGAAAGAAAUUCAGGGGGAAAAAAAUCCAAGUUAUUUAUUUAUUUUUCUUGCACCGUUUGGCGAGAAGAGGCGGGCAGAGCACUGUAUGCAAAUGAGGGCACUGUGAAUGCGCGCUUGGGUUGGCUAGGAGCUCUGCCGUUCUAUUCUAUUCCCCGGUGGAGGGUCUUAUUAGCCAAUCCUGGCGCGGGAAAUGGGGUCAAACUAACCAAUCGUAGCGCAGAGUUCGACCCUUACUCUAUUUGCAUACUGCUCUGGCCCCUCCCUCUCCCCCCCGCCGUUGCCAGGGCAACACGGUGCGACAACACAGGCUCGUCGCGCUGCGGGGUCAGUUGUUCAGCAUGUCUGUGUGUUUUUCUCAGCUCUUGGGUUUAUAAGCGGUUAGGCUUAAAGCAGCAGCGCUCAGACCGCGUCUGGAAAGUAAAGCCGGAGAUUAAAGAUGUCAGACCUGGCUAAAGAGAAGGCCGCCCGCCUGCUGAAGAAGAGAGGGAGCGUGUCCUCCCUGGGCAGCCAUGAGGUCAGGGCCAAGGAGCCAGUUGGCAGAACCAAGGACUCCAUCAGUACUGUGUCCUAUAUCGAUGAGCAUGGUCACCAUGAUGAUAACCCCCGACCCACAGUGCAGAUGGAGAACACCUAUCAGCUCGGCCCCGCAAAGCGCUUUCCUGUGCUGACGGUGAAGGAGAUCCUGAAGGACGUACUGGCCAACUACCUGCAGGAGGAGAAGUAUGAGGCAGAGUUGUGCAGACAGAUGACCAAAACCAUAUCAGAGGUGGUGAAGGCUCGAGUGAAAGACAUGAUGAUCCCUCGCUACAAGAUCAUAGUGCUGAUCAGCAUCGGUCAGCUGACGGGCCAGAACAUGCGCAUGGGGAGCCGGUGCCUGUGGGACGCAGCCAGCGACACCUUUUCCUCUCACACGUUCAAAAACAGCUCACUCUUCGCCAUCGCCAACGUCUACGGCGUCUAUUUCGAAUGAUGGUUCUUGGCUCGAUGCUCAACACGUCAAGCCUGUGAACAUCAUAACGUCCAUAUCAGCGCAACAUUCAGCAGCCUGGAGAUUCUCUAAGGAGUGAGAGGUGCCAGCGACCUGGAUCUGACCUCACCUGGAUCCCCCUGGACCUCAGCUCGGACGGGACCCUCCUCCACCUGGACCCUCCACAGGUGUAGACGACGGCCCUCAGGAACUCGCGGCCGCACAGCCGGACGGCGUUCUGGGACCGGGCCGUGUCUGGACACAGCGUGCAGACCAACAGCAAUGCCAACAGCAGGGCCUUCAUAUCUGGAGACUGUGGUCCUACACCUGCCAAGCCUGAGAGGUUCUGGGCGUCUUGGCUGUUUUCCUCAGAUCCCACAGCGUCCAUUCGUUCUUUUUAUACUAUAUUGGACAUACUGUUGACGUGCAUGCUUGUUUUCCAUGACCCUCUAAAUGAGGCUGUUUUUGCUAAUGAAAGAUAACACCCACCCCAGUGGAACAUCCACACUUCCAGUGGGAUGGGAUUCUCCUCCACAGUUUCACGCCUUCCUUGUUUAUCUUUGCAAAAAAUGCAAUCCGUUUUUGCCUUUUUUGAAAGAUCCGUUUUCCUGUUUUCCCUAAUUCGACAGGUGACCUCAUUCUAACGACGGGGGUUUUUAUUGCCGCGCGCUGCGAAAGUGGGUCGUAAUGAGGCUUUAAAGACGCCCUCCAGGCCCAGGCCGUAAAAACAUGUACGGCGUUUGAUGAGAGCCCAUUUGAAAAUGGGCACAGUGUCAUUCUAGCAUAAUGGCGCCACUUACCUUCCAUGAACCUUGUCAACAUCCCCUAAAAUGAUGAUCACCUUACAAAAUGGCUUUAGGUUUGGCGGGAAGACACUUUGUUGCCUAUAGUUUCAUGACCCAACCUCGCUUCAUAAACGCGCGAGAGGCCCAUUUGUGAGAUUACAAAGCUCGGUGUCAUCAACACCAUUGUUUUCAAAAAAAAAAGAAGAAGAAGAAGAAGAAGAAGAAGAAGAAGAAGAAGAAGAAGAAGAUCCGAUCCCUCCUUACACAAAGGCCUACGGAAAACAAACAACUGCUGCUGUUUGUUGAAACCAGAACAUCUGAGUCAGCUUCUGGUCAUGGUACAACAUCACGCAAGUCUCCUGCUGGCCCUUAAAACGGACGAUAAGCAUCUGCUGCCGAAACUUUUCCACGGAAAAUAGUCAUUUGUCAAUGAUAUUAUAGGAAAACCUCAAAAUGACUCUUUUUAAAGAGCCCUUAAACAGCAAAACCUCUGUUAUGUUGGUAUGCGCUAAGACUAUGUCAACCAGCUUGCAUUGUAUUCCAGGUGGUUACUAAUAAUAAGCCUCAGGCUUGGAAUGAUUAUGGGAUUUUAACGUGAACGUGCCAUCGCAUGCAGUUAUCCUCGCCGAGGCUCUUCUUUUAAAGGAGAAAGCCACUGAUUUUUCAGUGGUUUGAUGUGAAAUGUACUACUGUAGAGAAACUAGAGUCACAGUGGUGGUGAUAGGAACCAGACGUCCGAACAGUUUAAUGCCUCGCACGGAAAGUUCUUACAUAACCUGGUCCUGACUGUGCAGCCUUUUAUGAUAGUUUUGAGAAGGAUUUGGCUUAAAGUGUAUUGUUUUACAGCCUAUACACGGCAGAAGUUACACGCAGGGUGCUGUGAGGCAAAAUGGCCCAAAAACAAAAGUUGUUUUAUUCGAAUUUAUGAC